rnacentral:rRNA from 1 species
UACGUAGGGUGCGAGCGUUGUCCGGAAUUACUGGGCGUAAAGAGCUCGUAGGUGGUUUGUCGCGUUGUUCGUGAAAACUCACAGCUCAACUGUGGGCGUGCGGGCGAUACGGGCAGACUGGAGUACUGCAGGGGAGACUGGAAUUCCUGGUGUAGCGGUGGAAUGCGCAGAUAUCAGGAGGAACACCGGUGGCGAAGGCGGGUUGCUGGGCUGACACUGACGCUGAUGCGCGAAAGCCAGGGGAGCGAACGGG